UACGUAGGGGGCAAGCGUUGUCCGGAUUUAUUGGGCGUAAAGAGCGUGUAGGCGGCCAGGUAGGUCCGCUGUGAAAACUCGAGGCUCAACCUCGAGACGCCGAUGGAAACCAUGUGGCUAGAGUCCGGAAGAGGAGAGUGGAAUUCCUGGUGUAGCGGUGAAAUGCGCAGAUAUCAGGAAGAACACCCGUGGCUAAGGCGGCUCUCUAGUACGGUACUGACGCUGAGACGCGAAAGCGUGGGGAGCGAACAGG
rnacentral:rRNA from 1 species